AUGGGUAGCUAUGCAAUCGGCAUCCACCGCCAGCAUAGAGUGAAGCAGUCUGAUAAAAAAGAGUUGAAGGUCAUAUGCAUCCACACCGCGAAAGGUUGCCGCGGAAGAGUUCUUGCUAGACUGAAGCCUGUGGUAUGUCAGUCAUGGCAUAUCACAAAAAUAGUGGAGCAUACCUGUGAGCAAACUGGGACUCUUUCAGAUCACUGCAAUGUGACAGCAAAAUUUGUGGCACAGACGAUGGAAACAAUUGUGCAGGGAAGUCUCAACAUUAGUGUUAGGGCUCUGCAAAAAGAUGCAGAGGAUCUAAUUGGAUUCCCUGUUAGCUACAGCAAGGCUAGGCAUGCGAAGGAAAAUAUAUUUAAGAACUUGUAUGGUACCUAUGAGGAGGCAUAUUCUUAUGCCCCUAGAAUGCUUCAUCAAAUAGCAAGUGCUAAUAGGGGGACUCAAGUUUGGCGGAGAGAACGUCCAAACCCAAUGAAUCCGGGUGAGCUAAUCCUGGACCGCUUAUUCUGGGCAUUCGCCCAGACUAUACAAGCCUUCAGGCACUGUCGCCCGGUAUUAUCUGUUGAUGGUACCUUUCUCACUGGAAAGUACAAGGGCACACUAUUGGUGGCGAUUGCAGCGGAUGCAAAUAAUCAGCUUCUUCCUAUUGCAUAUGCAUUGGUCGAGAGCGAGAACAAAGAUAGCUGGUUGUGGUUCCUGAGCUGCGUGAAGAUGGGUGUCGUGAAAGAGCGUAAAGGUGUUUGCAUCAUUUCUGAUCGCAACACUGGAUUAUUAAGCGCUCUUGAAAUAAUUAAGGCGUCAGAAGAAGAGUGGGGCUGGCCCGAUCUAGAGGGAAGGUGGUGCAUGAGGCAUUUGGCAGCAAACUUUUACUCCAAAUUCAAAAACAAGGAUUGGUUCAAGUUAUUCAAGAGGAUGUGCAUGCAAAAAACUGUAGCCAAAAUGAAUGCGAUAUGGGCAGGUAUCAAUGGUGAGAUCGACCGCGCGGCCUUGCCGCAGAGAGAAGACCGGAGGGGUCGUAGGACGGUCAUAAAUUUGAGCCAGUGGAUCACCGAGAAUUGCCCUCAUUUGGAGAAGUGGGCACAGGCUCACGACACCGGGGCUCGGUAUGGAAUAAUGACCAGCAACAUGUCAGAGGUGUACAAUGGUGUUCUUAAAGGGGUGCGAGCACUGCCUAUCACAGCCCUAAUUGAAGAAACUUGGAACCGGACCCUGUCAUACUUUGCAGACAGGGUCACCGUCGCCAAAGCACAAGUUGAAUUGAACAAGCCAUGGUCCGAGAAGAUGCAAAGACAUCUGGACGAGAAAGCAAAGAAGUCCCAAAGUCAUGGCUGCAGGAAAGUGGACGCACUUAGGAAUAAGUGGGAGGUCAAUGUGCGAGCCAAGUACGUUAAGGGUCACCACAGAGGAUCAAAAAAGCAAGCUGUCACCCUUGGCUCAACCUCCUGUGAGUGCACUUGUAACAAGCCCAAGCUUGAGGGCUACCCUUGCAGUCAUGUGCUCCGGGCGGCUGCUGUUCAAAAAAUCAGCGUCGAGCCAUACAUAUCGCCGUACUUUAACAUGUACAAUCUGUACAACACUUGGAACGGUGAGUUCUGGGCUUGGGGCAUUGAUAUGAACUACAAAAUGUUGUGGCCAGAUGGGCCGAAAUGGGUUCCGAACACCGACUUGAUGAGAACCGCAAAGGGACGACGUCAGUCUAGGCGUCAUCGCAAUGACAUGGACCAUAGCCAGAUGGAAGAACCAAGGCGAUGCCGCGUUUGCAGGUGUCCUGGACAUUCACGCAAAGACUGA
rnacentral:rRNA from 1 species